UCCCUUAGUAGCGGCGAGCGAACAGGGAAGAGCCCAGCGCCGAAUUCCGCGUCUCAAAGGGCGUUUGGAACAUGUGGCGUUUAGGAGGAAUCUCUCCAAGGGCAGACGGUGUCGCAAGUCCCCCUGAACGGGGCUGUGAUCCAGAGCGGGUGCGAGGCCCAUAGCUGGUACCGUCUCCUUUGGGUGUCCCCUCCUUGGAGUCGGGUUGCUUGGGAGUGCAGCCCUAAUUGGGUGGUAAACUUCACCUAAGGCUAAAUACGUCCGUGAGACCGAUAGCAAACAAGUACCGUGAGGGAAAGUUGCAAAGAACUUUGAAGAGAGAGUUCAAGAGUACGUGAAACCGCUCAGAGGCAAACGGGUGGGCCCACGAAAGCCGAAGGCGGGGGGAUUCAGUCGAGAGGACGGUGGGGCAGGACUGGCUGGUUGGACGGACCGUGCCAGGCCGGGUUAGUUCCCGAGAUCUGCUGCCUUUCGACGCAUUUCCCCCUGCUUAGUAGGACGCCGCAACCGGUUGGCACUGCAGCCAUAAGGGAGAGUAAAUGGAAGGUAGCCAGUGAGUUCUUCUUUAGAGGCGCGAGCUGGUCCUAAGCCGACUCUCCUGGUGCUUGUGGCCCGACCGUGGUCGUGAGUCCCUCAACGGGAUGUCGCCGAGCCCUCUGACUUGAGCAGGAGAAAUGGCAGGCUGCUUUCCGUGGAAAAAAUCGAUCGCUUCACGCGUGCAGUGGGCGAUCUCCGGAGGUAGCUGCUGGUGCAUUUUUCUCCUGCGCUGGGCACAGGCAGUUGGCGGCGAGUAGGUCGGUCACCCACCCGACCCGUCUUGAAACACGGACCAAGGAGUCUAACAUGUGCGCGAGUCAUUGGGUCUUGAACAAGCCCAAAGGCACAAUGAAAGUGAAGACCAGCACUGAAGCUGGUGGAGUUGGGAAACUGUGUCACUGAAGAUGCAGUUGCACCAACGGCCCGUCCCGUCCGCAUUGUCGGKGGGGCGGAGCGAGAGCGUACACGUUGGGACCCGAAAGAUGGUGAACUAUGCCUGGGCAGGACGAAGCCAGAGGAAACUCUGGUGGAGGUCCG
rnacentral:rRNA from 1 species